rnacentral:lncRNA from 1 species
UUCCGUUCGAUUCAUUUGUUCAAAUCUGUAACAUAUUCAAAAGAAGCUUGAGAAUGGGAACUCAGAAACUUGACUCAAGAACCAUUCCAAGCUUCACCCAUAAAGCUGUCAAAUAUUCUAUAGAAAGACUCCGCAAUGUGUUGUUUGUGAAAAUAUGGUAGACCGUUGUUAUUGGUUCAUAGUAUACAAAUAUAUCUGAAGCACUAUAACUAAUUUCAAGCAUCUCAUGAACUCAAUGAAAAUGACGAGGUGCAACGAAAUUUGAUAGCUACGAUGACUACAAAGACAGGAAAAGUACAGCACGGAUUUAGUAUUACUUUCAGAGGUUUAUUAUAACAGAACAGCAAAAGAAUGGUGAAUCACUACCAAGACUAUCGUAAAUGAUCUUCACAACUCUUACUAAAAUACCAAGACAGAUAGACUAUUCAUGAUCUUCAACCCAGACGAAGAAGCAAACCUCUAAUGUUGAAAAGAAUACUGAAUCACCAUCAUCGAAUUUCAUUACAUUUCGGUGGUGGCCAUAGGAAUUGUAGGACAUGGAUUGGUUAACAACAUAAAGAUUAAAGAAGGGAAGAGUAUAUAAUAGAGUCUUGUAAAUUUUUUUAAAAAUACUAACCAUUUCACUUGGGAUCAUUAUACCUGGGAAUAUUACCACCAUUGAUUAAGUUGCAACUUCUGAAAUCGAACGGCUGACGAAGAAGAAUGCGAUUUAAGAGGGGAGAAAGGCUUUUGACCCACAACCUCCACGUUCUUGAGUCAACAAUAGUACCGAUUAUGCAGAUCUCUCAAGAAAUAGUUCUUGCAAAACCCAGUUCAUAAAACAUGUUGUUUAGCCCUCGCAAGCCCCUUCGCGGAUCGAUCUCUUAAUCCAAAACGCUCGAUCCCUUCUCCAUUAACACCUGCUCGAUCACCUCGGCGACCACGACCGAUAAUAUUACGCACCGCUACUUCCUCAUAUUUGCCGGAUUAUUUGUACUAAUGACGAUCGCAGAUUUCAUCGCUGGUUGUUGUUGUUGCUAUAUCGAUGGUAGUUGAUUGCUGAUGACAUGGAUGGAGGAGAAGAUGGCAGGGGUUGUGAAAAGUGUAAAGGAUGAGGAAACGACGGUGAAAUCAUGAUUGGGAUAUUUGAGGGAAUAUGAGGCAAGGAGCAUGGAAACUGAUGGGUCAUCAAAAUGAGAUAUUGGC